UCGAUUCCCAGUUUCAACGUUUAUGUUCUCUUGUUAUUUAACUUAACUAAUCCUAGCCGUCCAUUCCAGUUCUGAUAAUCUCAGCCCUUGUAAGUCUUAGUAUACCUGACCCUAGCCUCAUUCUCACGAGAGUGCUCAUCUCCUCCAACUUUCUGCCGAUUAUGAAUGUCUUCCCUGCAUCCUCAUUUCUAUAUAUUUUUUUUCUCCAGCAACCCCUUGUGGUCCCUUUCGAUUUCUUACCCAUCUCUAAAUUUCUUUGAUUUAAAGCCUCCCUAUUUUAUAUUAUUUUUAUUUGUGUAGCUCUUAGUAUCUUUCCCAUCAACCACCACUCUCCUCUCAUCGGCUUGUCCUUUCUCUCCUUAUUGGCCAUCGCUCUUCUCUGUGAUUUUAGGAGUUCUUAUGGCCCCAGUAUCAGCAACAAUUCUCCUUUCGCAUAAGCAAGUCACAGGUAGCAGAGAGGUCAACAAUUCUCUUCUGUGAUUAUUGGGAGUUUUUCUCUUACUAGCCCAGAGGGAAGAAUCUUUUACAUUUAAAUCUAUGCUACUUAAUGGGUUUUAUUAAUUUCUUAGGUUUGUAAUUGAUGAUAUUGUAUUUUGGCAUUUAACUAAAUACAUCAGAUUUGUUCUUUUUUUUUAGGCCUUUGCUAUAAAUACAUCAAAUUUGUUAUUUUUUUAUGCGUUUGCUGUAAAUCUAUGCCUUGUGAUGCUUGAACCUUGAUGUUGAAUGUGAUAAAUGUGUCGUAAACCUUGCUAUUGCAUGCAUCUGUUUUCCUUCGGAAGAUACAGACUUUGUUCAUCGCUUUUGUUUCAUCCCUACAUAUUUACUCUUUGAACUAACUAUUUUUAAAUAACCUCCUCCUCCCUCUUCUUUUGUAUAUGUAUAAAACAGGACAGUCAAUGAAAUAUUAUCCACCCUUCAGAUACUGGCUUCCCUCGGAAAACAGCCAUCUUGGGAAAUGAAGAUGUUUGUGGUCACUCUAAUCAACUAUGCAAUAGCAAUGGCAAUUGAACAAGGACUCCAAACCCAUCUCAACUCAAAUUACAAAAUAUUUGCUUGUAAUAUUCGUCUCCUAUUGGGUUAUCUGGCAAUUGUGCAACUUGCUUUGAUUCAUGUUCUCAUCUAUGGUCUGUUACUUCUGGGUUUAUGGUUCUACUUGGUAAUACGAGUAGCAGUCAACCCAUGUGAAGACCUAUGUCUAUUAGUAGUCAGAGAUUUGCAAAACUUAAAAAGGCUGGCUGAAGAUGCAAUCCAAAGGCUAUUUGGCAGGCAGGAGUGAGUCACCAAAUCAUUUGUCUAGUUAAGUUUAUCAUUUUAGUAAAUGUGAUGUAUCUUUACAAUUUUAGAUAUCUCAAUAACAUGUAUAAUUUUAGCAAUAAUUUUAAAGGUUUAAAUGUGAUAGUUUAGACCAUAUUAAUGUGUCUAAGUUGUAUAAUUAAUAUUUGAGUUGUAGAAUUUUGUUCAUUGAAAAUUUGAAAUUUAUUUAUGUAUUUCAUGAUCGAACAUGUUAGAGUAUUUGUUUAUUGCCUUGUUAAAUCUCCCACUCCCAUUUGUAAUUUUUGAUGCAAAGAGAGGUUUUGAUUUGUGUUAUUUGUAGAGGAAGAGAUAGGGAGAGGGAGAGAAUUUUUUAUGAAUUUUUUUUAACAGCAUUAAGUUCAAUUUUGAAAUAUUUUAUUACAGUAUCUGAGAUGUAGAAAUAAUACAAAUACUCAUCUGUCUCAUCACAGCAAAAUACCCAUCUUCUUCCUAGUGUGUGUUUGAGAUCAGCAUUGGCUAUUAAUUCCAUACUCAAAGCUUGUAAAUCAAAUUGUGUUGAUCUUAGUUCCAAGUUUCAGAUGGUUUCUUCUAGGCUUAGGACCUCCACAUUUAAAUGGUACUUGGAACUCAUAUCAAGAUCUUUACCAUUUGCUACUCCAAGCAUUUGAUGAGUUGAAGAGGCUUUCAAGAAAUUUAUUUCAAGCACUAAGGAGGAUGCCAAUUGGAGGUGGGGAAAACAACAUAAUGCAGGAACCAAAUCAUCAAUCUUCGUCAUCUGUUAAAUAUUGUUUAGUCUUAGUUAUUGCUUAUUCAUUUAUGUUAUGUAAGUGACCUUGUUCAUAUUGCUUACUGCUACUCUGAACAAAUUGGUAAUUAAUUUCUUUGUAUUUCUUGCCCAGCACUGUCCAUGGAUUCAACAAAGUUAAGCUUCUUGUGGUAACUUAAAGCUAGCUUGUUAUCAGUUCAGGUAUCUUGGGUCUUGGAUUGUAGCAGGGUAAUUAGCAAAACUGCUUGUACAGGGUUUAUUUCCUCUUGAAUCUUAGGUUUGGAUCUAUUCAGAAUCAUAGUUGUGUUGUGCAGUAGUUUUUUUGGGUCUCUGGUUUCUGCAUCUUGAGUGGGAGCUUCUGCUGCUGUUUAUAUUUUGGUUUAGUUUGGUUAUUUAUUUAUUUAUUUAUUAAAUUCAACAGGAUAAGUAAAAUCAUGAGAAAUAUUUUAUUUAGCUAAGUACAUUAGAUUUGUUCUCUUUUUCUUUAGGCCAUUUGCUGUAAAUACAUCAAAUUUGUCAUUUUUUUUAUGCGUUUGCUGUAACUCUAUGCCUUGUGAUGCUUGAACUUUGAUGUUGAAUGUGAUAAAUGGGCCAUGAACCUUGCUGUUGCUUGCUUCUGUAUUCCUUAGGAAGAAAUAGACUUUGUUCAUCGCUUUUGUUUCAUCCCAACAUAUUUACUCUUUGAACUCAUUAUUUUUAAAUAACCUCCUCCUCCCUCUUCUUUUGUGUGUGUGUGUAUAAACCAGGAUGCGCGAUGAUUUAUUAUCUAUCCUUAAAAUAUUGGCUUUUUGAAAACAGCUAUCUGGGGAAAUGAAGAUGUUGGUGGUCUCUCUAAUCAACUAUGCAAUAGCAAUGGCAAUUGAACAUGAACUCCAAACAUAUCCCAACUCAAAUUACAAAACAUGUGCUAGAAAUAUUCGUCUCCUAUUGGGUUAUAUGGCAAUUGUGCUACUUGCCUUGGUUCAUGUUCUCCUCUAUGUUGUGUUACUUAUGAGUUUGUGGGUCUACUUGCUUACACAAGUAGGACGCCACCCAUAUCAAGACUUAUAUCUAUUAGUAGGCAAAGAUUUGCAACACUUAAAGGAGUUAGCUGAAGAUGCAAUCCAAAGGCUAUUUGGCAGGCAGGAGUGAGCCACCGAAUCAAUUGUCUAGUUAAGUGUAUUAUUCUAGUAAACCUCAUUUGUCUUUAUAAUUUUAGAUCUCUCUAUAAAAUGUUUGAUUUUAGCAAUCAUUUUAAUGAUUUAAAUGUGAUAGUUUAGUCCAUAUUAAUGUAUCUGAGUUGUAGAAAUAAUACAUAGUUAUAGAAUUUUGAAAGGGUCUUCUUUUGAAAUUUAUAUUUGUUUAUGUUAGAAUAUUUGUUUAUUGCAUUGUUAAAUCUCCCUCUCUCAUUUGUAAUUUAUGUGUUGUUUGUAGAGGAAGAGAUGGGGAGAGGGAGAGAAUUUGUUAUUAAAAUUUUCUUUUAACAGGAUUAAGUCCAAUUUAAAAAAUUUUAUUACAGUGUUUGAGUUUGUAGAAAUAAUACAAAUACUCAUCUCUCUCAUCACAGCAAAAUACCCAUCUCAUUCCCAGGAUGCUUUUGAGAUUAGCAUUGGCUAUUGAAUCUAUACUCAAAGCUUGUAAAUCAAAUUGUGUUGAUCUUAGUUGCAAGCUUUAGAUGGCUUCUUUUAGGUUCAGGACCUUCAUAUUUAAAUGGGAAGCUUGGAACUCAUAUCAAGAUCUUUACCGUUUGCUACUGCAAGCAUUUGAUGAGUUGAUGAGGCUUUCAAGAAAUGCUUUUCAAGCACUAAGGAGGAGGCCAAUUGGAGCACUGUCCAUGGAUUCAACAAAUUUAAGCUUCUUCUUGUAACUUAAAGCUAGCUUGUUAUCAGUUCAGAUAUCUUGGGCCUUGGAUUGUAGCAGGGUAAUUAGCAAAGCUGCUUGUACAGAGUUUAUUUCCUCUGGAAUCUUAGGUUUGGAUCUAUUCAGAAUCAUAGUUGUAUUGUGCAGUAGUUUUUUUGGGUCUCUGGUUCUGCAGCUUGAGUGGGAGCUUCUGCUGCUGUUUAUAUAUAUUGGUUUAGUUUGGUUAUGUAUUCAUA